rnacentral:tRNA from 1 species
GCCCUCGUGGUAUAAUGGAUAACACAUCAGGCUUCGGACCUGGGGUUGUAGGUUCGAAUCCUACCGAGGGCG